rnacentral:rRNA from 1 species
GUGUCAGCAGCCGCGGUAAUACGUAGGUGGCAAGCGUUAUCCGGAAUUAUUGGGCGUAAAGCGCGCGCAGGCGGUCUCUUAAGUCUGAUGUGAAAGCCCACGGCUCAACCGUGGAGGGUCAUUGGAAACUGGGAGACUUGAGUGCAGGAGAGAAAAGUGGAAUUCCACGUGUAGCGGUGAAAUGCGUAGAGAUGUGGAGGAACACCAGUGGCGAAGGCGGCUUUUUGGCCUGUAACUGACGCUGAGGCGCGAAAGCGUGGGGAGCAAACAGGAUUAGAUACCCUGGUAGUCCACGCCGUAAACGAUGAGUGCUAGGUGUUGGGGGGUUCCACCCUCAGUGCUGACGCUAACGCAUUAAGCACUCCGCCUGGGGAGUACGGCCGCAAGGCUGAA